GCAGGUGAUUUUUAAGGAGGUGUUCCCAGGAGAACCUGGGAAGGGAGCAGGGGAGGCAGAACAGGAAGGGGAAAGAAGCCAGGCAGAGGUGCAACUUCAGGCCAAGUCUGCAGCCUGAUCCUGCAGGAAACUCUGGGAUAAGACAGACCUCCGAGAAUUGUCCCAACCCAAGGAGUUGGGCUUUCAAUCCUGUAUUAGUCUGUCCUUGGUUUGUCUCUGUGGGACAGAUGAAACAGCAGAGAUGAAGAAACCCAGGCUCAAGAAGAUUAAGCAAUUCCCCCAGUGCCCCACUGGGUGUGUGGGGGCAGGUCUGGAGCCCAGGCAAUCUGACUUUAGGGCCCCAGUCUUUGCCCCGCCCUGACUCUAGACGCCUGCCUCACUGACAUGAGGACACUGAUGCCGGGAGCAGCCUGCAGGGCUCACCCAGCUGGUAAGCAGCAAGAAGGAAUUGGGACACAGUUCUUGCCAAACCGCUUUUCCAUCUACGCUUCCAUUUGCUGCAGCCCCACAAGGCUCCAUCUGCCCUCACAGCUCCCCACCUGGGAUAUCCAAAAGGCAUUUGCAUCUUAGCAUGCCCAGGGCUGCACUCCCUGCCUUCCACUGCCCCAGACGACGAUUCCCUCCCAUGCUUCCAGACCUUCGUGUUAAAGUCGACUCAUCCUGCCAGCUUCUCCGACCAGCACAUGAGGAAACUGAGGCUCGAAGGGGAUGGGUAGCAUUUCCAACAUCACACAGCUAGCAAGUGGCUGAGCAAGGAUCUGUCCCGUCUUCGUGGGAACCCCUGUCUGCCAGGGCUUUCCAUUUUCCCCUGGUGCUUCCCUCAGCUACAACCUUCCUGCCGAUUGCGUGGCCCCUCUCUUGCCUAGAGGUGACUGUUUCAAGUCGUGGGACGGACAGACCUGGCCGGAGUCUGCUCUAUUUUGGGGACAGAUGAAAGAGUAAAUUUCAUCUCAAAUAAGAUUUUUAACCCUUGUAAAACUUUUGAAGACUGAGAUUGGCCACUUUGGGAAUCUCUGGAGUUGACCCCGGGGAGGAAAUUCACAAUGAGGUGGGCUCACCACAGUUGGGCUGCCUGAAGACCUCCUUGGAGGAAGCUCCCCUUGGAGGCUCGCCCUCAGCUCCCUUCCAUCCUGACACACCCCCA
rnacentral:lncRNA from 1 species